UUUUGUGCAUGAUGAGAAACAUAAAAAAUAACAGUUAUCCCUGGCUGAUUCAUCCAUGCUGAUUAUUGUUGAAUCUGACACUAAA
rfam:Populus trichocarpa isolate Nisqually-1 chromosome 2, whole genome shotgun sequence.